rnacentral:rRNA from 1 species
CGAUACCAGAGAGCUUGCUUUCUGGGAAAGUGGCGCACGGGUGCGUAACGCGUAUGCAACCUACCUUAAUCAGGGGGAUAGCCUCUCGAAAGAGGGAUUAACACCGCAUAAAAUCACAAGCUGGCAUCAGCAAAUGAUCAAAUAUUUAUAGGAUUAAGAUGGGCAUGCGUGACAUUAGUUAGUUGGUGAGGUAAUGGCUCACUAAGACGAUGAUGUCUAGGGGAUCUGAGAGGAUGACCCCCCACACUGGUACUGAGACACGGACCAGACUCCUACGGGAGGCAGCAGUAAGGAAUAUUGGUCAAUGGAGGCAACUCUGAACCAGCCAUGCCGCGUGCAGGAAGACGGCCCUAUGGGUUGUAAACUGCUUUUAUACGGGAAUAAACCUCUCUACGUGUAGAGAGUUGAAUGUACUGUAAGAAUAAGGAUCGGCUAACUCCGUGCCAGCAGCCGCGGUAAUACGGAGGAUCCAAGCGUUAUCCGGAUUUAUUGGGUUUAAAGGGUGCGUAGGCGGCCUAUUAAGUCAGGGGUGAAAGACGGUGGCUCAACCAUCGCAGUGCCCUUGAUACUGAUGGGCUUGAUUACACUUGAGGUAGGCGGAAUGUGACAAGUAGCGGUGAAAUGCAUAGAUAUGUCACAGAACACCAAUUGCGAAGGCAGCUUACUAAGGUGUCAAUGACGCUGAGGCACGAAAGCGUGGGGAUCAAACAGGAUUAGAUACCCUGGUAGUCCACGCCCUAAACGAUGAAUACUAGAUGUUAGCGAUAUACAGUUAGCGUCAAAGCGAAAGCAUUAAGUAUUCCACCUGGGGAGUACGCUCGCAAGAGUGAAACUCAAGGAAUUGACGGGGCCCGCACAAGCGGAGGAGCAUGUGGUUUAAUUCGAUGAUACGCGAGGAACCUUACCCGGGCUUGAA